rnacentral:rRNA from 1 species
GUUUGAUCCUGGCUCAGGACGAACGCUGGCGGCGUGCCUAACACAUGCAAGUCGAACGGGGUUUAAGAGGAAGCUUGCGAAUCUUAAACCUAGUGGCGCACGGGUGAGUAACGCGUGGAUAACCUGCCUGGUAGACCGGGAUAACAGCUGGAAACGGCUGCUAAUACCGGAUACGCUCUGGAUGUUGCAUGACAUACAGAGGAAAGAUUUAUCGCUAUCAGAUGGGUCCGCGUCCCAUUAGCUAGUUGGCGGUGUAAGAGACCACCAAGGCGACGAUGGGUAGCCGGCCUGAGAGGGCGACCGMCACACUGGGACUGAGACACGGCCCAGACUCCUACGGGAGGHGCAGUGGGGAUCUUCCGCAU